rnacentral:lncRNA from 1 species
AUGGAACUGGAAUGUGGUAAAUCGUGCUGGGAUCAGGGAGAAUGUUCUCCUUAUCUCCGGUCUGUGGAAGAACAGUGGAAGUGGACUCUUGAUCAGGUGGUGAGUGGCAUGAAAGAACAGGACAGGAAAAGAGAAUUGGAUGCAAUAAAAAAGUUGUGGAAAGAAGCUCAGAAGCAAAAGAUACUUCCCCCUCCAGAGGUGAAGGUUAAUUUAGCUGAAGCAUUGUGUAAGUGGGAGUCAGAAAUUCACACUAGAUUACAGGAUCAUUUGGAUAAUCCAAAAUCCAAAGGUUUUAUAGCAGGAAAAUCAUGGCAAAAACAGGGUAAGGAGUUAGAAGAUAAGCGUCGAAGGAUACAUGUUGUGGCUGUGGCAUGUGCAGCGGUGCACUAUUGCAGAUCUAUGGGGGUCACACGAGUGCCCAAUGUAGAGAAGCCUCCAUUAGAAGAUCCAAACCAGACGGUGACACUUAACACCACUCUUUAUCCAGCAUUACCUACUACCUCUUCCACACCCCCAUAUCAAUUGCCAGUUUUGACUACUAACAGUGGUCAGUUAGAUGUGGACAGAGAUGAAGAAAUACAGGAGUUACGUGAGACAGUGGGUGAACUUCGGAGACAGGUUAGCAGGAUCAAACAGAGACAGGAAGAGGUUGAAGAUAACUUAGGAAAAAUUGAAUUUAGAGAGGAAGCUCAGGUGGUUCGCCCUAAAAUCUCCCAACAAACUAUAUUUAAGAAACAGGAUAGUCAAAAAUCUGCAUUAAAUGUCUUUAAAAGACUUAACAAUCAAACAAAACAAGUGAAAAGAGCUGAUCUCUCAGGAGGAUUUGCCAGGGCUGAGCACAGGGAGAAGGCAAGACUGAUUUAUGGCAGUGAUAAAGAGGAGAGCGAGAGUAAGACAGACACCCUAAAACUUUCGGCUACAUUUAUUGGGGAAUUGGAGCUUCAGGAGUCUGUUGAAGCUCAGACAAAAUUAUAUGAAAAAGAUCCAGGUUUAUUUUUGGAAAAUUAUGAAUCAGAAUCAAGGGAAGAGAGUGAGUGUGAGUAUAGAGGUGAACUGUUGACAGGGGCCAUAAAUAAUGAGGAGGGUUAG